rnacentral:rRNA from 1 species
AUUGAACGCUGGCGGCAUGCCUUACACAUGCAAGUCGAACGGUAACGCGGGGCAACCUGGCGACGAGUGGCGAACGGGUGGGUAACGCAUCGGAACGUGCCCAAUAGUGGGGGAUAGCCCGGCGAAAGCCGGAUUAAUACCGCAUACGACCUACGGGUGAAAGCAGGGGAUCGCAAGACCUUGCGCUAAUGGAGCGGCCGAUGUCAGAUUCGGUUGUUGGUGGGGUAAAAGCCCACCAAGCCGACGAUCUGUAGCUGGUCUGAGAGGACGACCAGCCACACUGGGACUGAGACACGGCCCAGACUCCUACGGGAGGCAGCAGUGGGGAAUGUUGGACAAUGGGCGCAAGCCUGAUCCAGCCAUGCCGCGUGCGGGAUGAAGGCCUUCGGGUUGUAAACCGCUUUUGUUAGGGAAGAAAUCUUUUGAGCUAAUACCUCGGAAGGAUGACGGUACCUAAAGAAUAAGCACCGGCUAACUACGUGCCAGCCGCCGCGGUAA